rnacentral:rRNA from 1 species
UCAAGUUACUAAGGGCGCACGGGGGAUGUCUUGGCAUUAGAAGGCGAUGAAGGGCGUGGAAGUCUGCGAAAAGCUUGGGGUAGCUGACAAACGAGUAUUGAUCCCGAGGUUCCUGAAUUAGCUUUCGGUUGAAUAGAGACCGUACCGUAAACCAACACAGGUGGGUAGGAUGAGAAUUCUAAGGCGCUUGAGAGAACUCAGGAGAAGGAACUCGGCAAAAUAGCACCGUAACUUCGGGAAAAGGUGUGCCCUUUGUAUGUGUAGCGCCUUGCGCGUGAAGCAGAAUAGGGUUGCAAUGAAUUGGUGGCUGCGACUGUUUAAUAAAAACAUAGCACUCUGCAAACACGUAAGUGGACGUAUAGAGUGUGACGCCUGCCCGGUGCCGGAAGGUUAAAUGAUGGGGUGCAAGCUCUUGAUUGAAGCCCCGGUAAACGGCGGCCGUAACAAUAACGGUCCUAAGGUAGCGAAAUUCCUUGUCGGGUAAGUUCCGACCUGCACGAAUGGCGUAACGAUGGCCACACUGUCUCCUCCAGGGACUCAGCGAAGUUGAAAUGUUUGUGAAGAUGCAAUCUCCCCGCGGCUAGACGGAAAGACCCGUGCACCUUUACUGUAGCUUUACAUUGGACUUUGAUAACACUUGUGUAGGGUAGGUGGGAGGCUUUGAAGUGGAUUCGCUAGAAUUCAUGGAGCCAUCCUUGAAAUACCACCCUGGUGUUGUUGAGGUUCUAACCUAAAUCCAUUAUCUGGAUUGGGGACCGUGUAUGGUAGGCAGUUUGACUGGGGCGGUCUCCUCCCAAAUUGUAACGGAGGAGUACGAAGGUACGCUAGGUACGGUCGGAAAUCGUGCUGAUAGUGCAAUGGCAAAAGCGUGCUUAACUGCGAGACUGACAAGUCGAGCAGGUGCGAAAGCAGGUCAUAGUGAUCCGGUGGUUCUGUAUGGAAGGGCCAUCGCUCAACGGAUAAAAGGUACGCCGGGGAUAGCAGGCUGAUUCCUCCCAAGAGUUCAUAUCGACGGGGGAGUUUGGCACCUCGAUGUCGGCUCAUCACAUCCUGGGGCUGUAGCCGGUCCCAAGGGUAUGGCUGUUCGCCAUUUAAAGUGGUACGUGAGCUGGGUUUAAAACGUCGUGAGACAGUUUGGUCCCUAUCUGCCGUGGGCGUUGGAAGUUUGAGAGGACCUGCUCCUAGUACGAGAGGACCGGAGUGGACGCACCUCUGGUGUACCGGUUAUGACGCCAGUCGUAUCGCCGGGUAGCUAUGUGCGGACGAGAUAACCGCUGAAAGCAUCUAAGCGGGAAACUCUCCUCAAGAUAAGACUUCCCGAGGGUAUAACCCUCCUAAAGGUUCGUCGAAGACUACGACGUUGAUAGGUCGGGUGUGGAAGCAUAGUAAUAUGUUAAGCUAACCGAUACUAAUUGACCGUGAGGCUUGAUCCG